rnacentral:rRNA from 1 species
UGAAGUUUCGGAUGGAUGCACUUAGUGGCGGACGGGUGAGUAACGCGUGGGUACCUGCCUCACACUGGGGGAUAACAGUUAGAAAUAGCUGCUAAUACCGCAUAAGACCGCAUGGUAAAAACCCAGGUGGUGUGAGAUGGAUCCGCGUCUGAUUAGCCAGUUGGCGGGGUAACGGCCCACCAAAGCGACGAUCAGUAGCCGACCUGAGAGGGUGACCGGCCACGUUGGGACUGAGACACGGCCCAAACUCCUACGGGAGGCAGCAGUGGGGAAUAUUGCACAAUGGGCGAAAGCCUGAUGCAGCGACGCCGCGUGAGUGAAGAAGUAUCUCGGUAUGUAAAGCUCUAUCAGCAGGGAAGAAAUGACGGUACCUGACUAAGAAGCCCCGGCUAACUACGUGCCAGCAGCCGCGGUAAUACGUAGGGGGCAAGCGUUAUCCGGAUUUACUGGGUGUAAAGGGAGCGUAGACGGCGAUGCAAGUCUGAAGUGAAAGCCCGGGGCUCAACCCCGGGACUGCUUUGGAAACUGUGUGGCUGGAGUGCAGGAGAGGUAAGUGGAAUUCCUAGUGUAGCGGUGAAAUGCGUAGAUAUUAGGAGGAACACCAGUGGCGAAGGCGGCUUACUGGACUGUAACUGACGUUGA